rnacentral:rRNA from 1 species
CGCUGUUUAUCAAAAACAUGUCUUUUUGGUAUUUAAUAUAGAGUCUGACCUGCCCACUGAAUAUUGUUUGAAGGGCCGCAGUAUUUUGACUGUGCAAAGGUAGCAUAAUCAUUAGUCUUUUAAUUGAAGGCUGGUAUGAAUGGUUGGAUGAGGUACAAGCUGUGUCAUAAAAAUUAAUAUUUGAAUUUAACUUUUUAGUCAAAAGGCUAAAAUUUAAUUAAAAGACGAGAAGACCCUAUAGAGCUUUAUAUAACUAUUAUUUAAAUUAUUAAGAUUUAUAAAAUUUAAUUAUUUUGUUUUAUUUUGUUGGGGUGACAAUAAAAUUUAUAAAACUUUUAUUUUUAUUAAACAUUGAUUUAUGACAAAAUGAUCCAGUUUUAUUGAUUAUAAAUUUAAGUUACCUUAGGGAUAACAGCGUAAUUUUUUUUGAGAGUUCUUAUCGACAAAAAAGAUUGCGACCUCGAUGUUGGAUUAAGAGUAAUUUUGGGUGUAGAAGUUCAAAGUUUAAGUCUGUUCGACUUUUAAAUUCUUACAUGAUCUGAGUUCAAACCGGAG